AAAACUAAAUAACAUCCCACGAUAUAUGGUAAUUAGUUUGUUAUUCCACCAUUUUAAAAAGAACUUUUCCAUAAUUAGUUUUCAGGUUGCAAAAAGCUCAUACGUUCCACCAAAAUAAAUUCAUGCGACCUCUUUUUUUGAUUUGUUGAUUUUCUUUCAUCAAUGCAAUGAAAGUUCAUACGUUCCAAAAAAAAAUUGUUGGACCUCUUUUUUUUUAUUUGUUGAUUUUCUUUCAUCAAUUGCAGUGAAUAUUUCAGUGUUCAUACGCUAUUCUGACGUUUGGAUUAACUAUAUUAUACCAUAAUCACCCAAACCCCUUUUGAUGUUGUUGUUCGAUAUGAAGGGAAACAAGAUCAUUACAGAUUGCAAAAAUAGUGAAGUUAAGGUUGAGCAAAUCUACAAGGACAAGUGUAUUGUUAUUUCAGUUGUGGCAUGGUAUGCCAUUGAGCAUUCCUUGCAAUUGAUCUGACAAAAAGAUAUGACAAAAAAGAUCUGUAUCUUGUUUAUGCGAAAAAAGAUAAGACAAAAAAAACUUGUAUCUUGUUUAACGUUUCAAAAGUAGUUAUUUGUCUCUUGUUUAUUCAAUUAUGCAUUUAACGUAAAAUUGAUUGUAGUUUGACGUAGUUCUGUUUUUUGUUAUUUUUAAUAGGCUGAGAUACAUAUUUGGUUUAACUAGAUACAUUUUUCCAUCAUCUUGUAUCUCUGGUUCGGAUUAUGUACAUAUAUGUAUCUCUUGGUAUUUUAAUUUUAGUGAUAUCAGCAUACCAAAAAUACAUAUUAGUAGCGUUAAAGAUACAUAUUGUGCGCGAUUGUACAUAUAUGUAUCGCUCGUUAACUUUUUAUGUAUGAUAAAAUACAUCUUAAUUUUUUAACAUAUUGCCAUUGAAAAUACAUAUAACUAACGUGAGAUAUAUAGUACAGAUUCUUUUGGGUAAUUUUUUCUUAAUAUUAUUCUCGUUUAAAAAAAAAAGGAAAAGAAGAAUGUUGAAUAGAUACAAACAGACGCUAAAUUUCAUGUACUAUUUUUAGUUGUUCUCGACCUAUGAACAAAUAGAUGAGUGACAUCAAGAAUCUCAAUAAAGAAACUAACCAAAUAACUCUUUUCUGCCUUUAUUGGUGAUAUAGUUAUGUAAAGAUAACGUAACGUAUGUAUUC
rnacentral:lncRNA from 1 species